AUGAUGUUACUAUGGAAACAGUUUUUGCUGCUAUCAAUCAUGGAAUAUCUUGCAGAGUGUGUGGAUUAUAAGUCUUUCAAUGGGCCGAAAUGGCGAAUGGAGCCCAGUGAUCUGACAGUAGGUUCACUGGAGGAGGAGGCUACAUUGACUUGUGACGCCAAGGGCAUUCCUCCCCCUCAGUACAGAUAUAUGCCGGGGCGCAGUGUGUCACAUUUUGACAUCUGCAUUAUCUGAUGCCAUUGGUUAGUCAGGAAUGUUCCUGUAAUUUAAUGGAUUAUGGAUUUCACAUCUCGAGGCUGUAUCUCAUAGUGUCUUCCUGGACUCCAUCUCAACAGAAGCACAAUAAAACUGCAAUAUUUAUUCCAGCUUCAUGCUGGCAGGG
rnacentral:lncRNA from 1 species